UACAGAGGUGGCAAGCGUUGUUCGGAAUUAUUGGGCGUAAAGCGCGUGUAGGCGGCUCGGUAAGUCUGCUGUGAAAGUCCAGGGCUCAACCCUGGAAUGCCGGUGGAUACUGUCGAGCUCGAGUCCGGAAGAGGCGAGUGGAAUUCCUGGUGUAGCGGUGAAAUGCGCAGAUAUCAGGAAGAACACCUAUGGCGAAGGCAGCUCUCUGGGACGGUACUGACGCUGAGACGCGAAAGCGUGGGGAGCGAACAGG
rnacentral:rRNA from 1 species